rnacentral:lncRNA from 1 species
GGGCAAUGAUUGGUUCGAUAUAUUGGAAGGAUUCCAAAUAAAUCGAUCAAUGGAAGCUGAGAUGCUGUAGAUGUGUAGGAUGCAUUCUAAUUCUAAUAUUAGUUACAAACCUGAUAUCAUACCAUCAGAUGUCAUGACACUGUACUGUAAAGACAAUGGAGCCAUAGCCCAUACUAAGGAGCCAAGAUCUCACUAGAAGUCUAAGCCCAUAGAGUCGCUGUAUAUGCGA